UACGUAGGGGGCUAGCGUUGUCCGGAAUCAUUGGGCGUAAAGCGCGUGUAGGCGGCCCGGUAAGUCCGCUGUGAAAGUCGGGGGCUCAACCCCUCGGAAGCCGGUGGAUACUGUCGGGCUGGAGUACGGAAGAGGCGAGUGGAAUUCCUGGUGUAGCGGUGAAAUGCGCAGAUAUCAGGAGGAACACCUAUUGCGAAGGCAGCUCGCUGGGACGUUACUGACGCUGAGACGCGAAAGCGUGGGGAGCAAACAGG
rnacentral:rRNA from 1 species